rnacentral:SRP_RNA from 1 species
CCCGGGCACAGUGGUGUGUGCCUGUAGUCCCACUAUUCGGGAGGCUGAGGUGGGAUGAUCGCUUGAGCCCAGGAGUUCUGGGCUGUAGUGCGCUAUGCCAACUGGGUGUCCUCACUAAAUUUGGCAUCAACAUGGUGACCUCCUGGGAGCGGGGGACCACCAGGUUGCCUAAGGAGGGGUGAACCAGCCCAGGUCGGAAACGGAGCAGGUCAAAACUCCGUGCUGAGCAGUAGUGGGAUGUCGCCUGUGAAUAGCCACUGCACUCCAGCCUGGGCAACAUAGCAAGACCCCAUCUCU